ACACAGUGUCACCACUGGCACUCAAGGCACAGUACCUGGUACCCGAUACAACAAAGAAAAUAUUCAGACCCUGAGGAGAUAUUUAUUAAGUUGUGCAGAAUUUUGCUCGCACAUUUUUUUAAUUUAAAAAAUGCCCCUGGUUGAGUGCUACCAAACGCACCUCCCAGCCAACCACUGUGCUCAGUCCGUGGCAGGAUGGACAGGAUGGCGGCCCAGCUGGAGGCUGGCACCACCUUUCUACUGUUGUCUUAGCAAAGGGCCAAGUCUCUGGUGAGAUUACAGCCAUCUGAUUUAAAAGUUCAGGGAGGAACUCCCUGCUACUGCAAAUGGUGCACAAUCAUCAGAACCACAUUUAUGAUGCUGGAUCUUCUGCCAAACAACUCAAACCUGCUACAAACCUGCCACCCGAACAACCAUAAACAAGCCAGGCGCCACCUAAACUACACAAAACCUGUAACGCUCCUCUGUAAAUGUUUGCUGAAUGGGAGCAGGCAAAACAAGCGCAAUGACCAACCAGGGGUUUGGCAGUUUUCCCAGCAAACACCAGCACUGGACUAAAAAUGACUUUGUAAUCAGAGGGUUUAGAGAGCAAACAAAGGAGGAGGGACGAAAACCAGGGAAUGGUAGAGCGAGCCUAUGAAUUACUCAGCAGACUCGUCACUCCCUCUUUCCUCCCUGCAGGAGAUAAUGGGGAUCAUCAGUCUUCUUGCCCUCCUUACGCCGCAUCUUUUAACUGCUAGUCUGCAUCCAGGUCAGCUGAGAAAUACCAAAGGUCCUUUCCAAUAACUGUGGCGUGUUGAAUGUGGUAGGCAGGGAUUCAGUCUACCAGCAUUGUUAGAAAAAGGGACUCGUCUAACACAGAAAAAGUAUCAAGCUAGCUGGAAAACUGCACCGCUAAAGGCCCUAAAAACACAUUUUCUCAAUCAGCCUCUUACUGUGACUGGUGGAGUCCUACAGUCCAGUACAGUAAAGUAAAUGUUGCUGCAGCCAGCAGCCAGAUAGCUUAGCUUAGACUGGAAACAGGGGGA